AAUAAAUAGGGGAGAAAGAAAGAAAGAAAAAGAAAAAGGAAAAUUUGGGGUUUUAAGGUUCAAAGUUAAUUUGGUAAGUCAAUUUAGCCCAUUUUCUUGUAAAUUUUGAGUUUAUGGAAUCCUAGAGAUGAAUACUACUUGAUUUAAGUGAAAAUUUUGAAAGUUGUUAGCUUUUUAGAUAUUGUUCUUUUUGAAUAAAAAGAUGAAUUAAUGGCUAAAUUGAUAGAAAUUCAAGUUAGAAAUGAAAUAAGGAUUAAAUUGUAAAGUGAUUCAUAAGUUUUAUGCUUUAAGGACUAAAUUGAAAGAAUUUUGAAAUUAUGGUUUUAUGAUGAAAAAUAGAUAAUUAUGUCUAAGUUUGGUUAAAAAUUGAAUAGAAAUGAAGUAUGAAUUGAGAUAGAAAAAGUAAGUGAAUCUAGUUAAGAUUAAAUUGAAAUUAAAGUAGAAAUUGAAUAAAAAUUGUAUUAAUUCGAUAUAAAUUAGUAGCGAAUUAACAAAUAUGAAUUGUUUUAAUUCCCGUAGCUAAUGUUGUCUCGAGAAGUUUCGGCUAAGUAAGGAAAUACCAAAGUCGACGAGGAAAAGCUCAGAAAAUACGGUUUGUAUUUUUAUAAUCCGAACCUAGUUCUUAUUUGUUAUAUUUAUAUACAUAUGACAAUUGUUAGUGUUAAAAUUAUGAUGUUAUUACUAUUGAAACGGAUUGAUUUUGGUAUGUGAUGAAUUUAUCAAAUUUAUAUUGAUUGAAAUCAUUUUGAUUGAAUUUAUAUUGAUUGAAAUUAUAAUAUAUAUAUAUGAUUUAUGUAAAAUUUUGAAUAUUGAAUGAAUGUUAUAUUAAAAAAUUAUAUUGAUUUGAAAUAUGAGGGAAUUGAUAUGAAUAUAUGAGAUUUGUGAUAAUUGAAUAUUUGAUAUUGAAAAGUGAAUUGAGUUGUAUUGGAUUAUGAAUUAAUGUGAAUAAUUGAAAUAUAUUUGUUGAAUUGAAUGAAAAUGUAUGAAAUUGUGAAAAUGUGUGAAAAUAUGUGAUUAUUAGAAUGGUAUAUUGAUGAAAGAUUUAUUAAAUUGAGAAAGUGAAUCAAAUACCCUAUUAACAGUAUCGGACCAGAUUGGAUACAAAUGGCAUGCCAUUGGAUUUGUGAUGUGAUGAGGAGAUUUGUAGUUCAGCCGAGAAGAUGUU
rnacentral:lncRNA from 1 species